rnacentral:lncRNA from 1 species
GCUCUGAGCCCUCCUUCUGGGUGCUGCGAGGUGUUCUGAGGCAAGCUCCGAAGUUGCGACAUGGAUGUGGUGACCUAUGAUGAUGUACAUGUGAACUUCACUUGGGAAGAAUGGUCUUUGCUGGCUCCUUCACAGAAGAGUCUCUACAAAGAUGUGAUGCUGGAGACCUACAGCAACCUCACUGCUAUAGGCUGCAAUUGGGAAGAGCAUAAUAUUGAAGAAUAUUGUCAAAGUUCUAGAAGACAUGGAAGGUAAUAUUCAUGUGCAAGUUAGUAUGAAUAUACCUCUGAAGAAGUUUUAAUAUGUCCUAGAAAGUUUUUUAAAAAAGCAGCAGUGUAAAAAAAAAGCAUGUCUUUAAGUAUAUUGAUGAUUAUUAAAUUCUCACAAAUCCAUGUACCUCAAUAUCAGGUGUCUGAUUUGUGUUUGCAAGGCAUUCUUCUAUGAAAGAAGACAAGUAAACAAUGCCUUAACGGACAUUGCCAUUUGAAUCAUAGCCACAUUACAGCUACUCUGUAGAACUGCCAACCUAUUUAGUCUCAUACAACCCACAUAUUGCAAUAUAUAGAGAUAGGUAGAUAGAUAGAUAGAUAGAUAGAUAGAUAGAUAGAUAGAUAAGUAUAUGUUUCUAAUAAGCAAAUAUUCUAUAGUAUAGAUGGUGUUGCUCAUAUACUUGUACCAACACUGCUAAGUUUAAGUGAGAGGGGCAGUUUAUGAGAGUCAAGAAUCUGUUUACCACAUGUCUAUGAUGAACAAAAAGUCAAACUGUGUGAAUGCAAUGUGGAAAUCUUUAAUUUGUUAUUCCUGUAAUAGGUAUAUCAUGUAAUAUACCUAUUAAAUGGAUAGAAGCCAUGUACCCCUCUUCCAGAACAAUUAGAAGAUAUGUAGUAUUCCCCAUUUAAGUAGACUUUCUCAAUGUGAUACAAUCUUAUAAUUAGUUGGUUUUCCAACUUCAUUGGCAAUGCAUCCAUAAACUCACACUGCAGAAAAUCCCUAUGAGUACUAGUAAUGUGGAAAUUCUUCUCUGUUUGUCCUAGUUCACUUUGCAAGUGUAGUGUAUUACACAAUAUAGGAAAAUUUAUUAAUGCAUCCAGUGUGUUAAAGCUCUGAGCUCUUCCAGUUCUCUUCAAAUAUGUAAAAAACUUCAUAGAGAAAAAGGAUGCUACAAAUGUGAGCCAUGUAAUAAACACUCUUACAAUUACAGGUAUCUUAAAAGACUCAAAACAAUCCAUAAUGAAGGAGAAACCAUGAAUGUAAACAAAGUCAUAAAACUUAUGAUGUAAUUCCUCUUUACAAUUAGAUCAAAUUGUAAAACUGAUUCCUACAGAUAAAAUUAUAAAAUUAAUUCCUACAGA